rfam:Gossypium raimondii Chr07_contig_34, whole genome shotgun sequence.
GGGUCCAUAGCUCAGUGGUAGAGCAUUUGACUGCAGAUCAAGUGGUCACCGGUUCGAAUCCGGUUGGGCCCU